rnacentral:rRNA from 1 species
AUUGAACGCUGGCGGCAGGCCUAACACAUGCAAGUCGAGCGGAGCGGCGGACGGGUGAGUAAUGCCUAGGAAGCUGACUGGUAGAGGGGGAUGACGUCCGGAAACGGACGCUAAUACAGCAUACUAUCAGCUGAGCCUAGGUCGAAUUAGCUAGUUGGUGGGGUAACGGCCUAACAAGGCGACGAUCCGUAACUGGUCUGAGCGGAGGAUCAGUCACACUGGAACUGAGACACGGUCCAGACUCCUACGGGAGGCAGCAGUGGGGAAUAUUGGACAAUGGGCGAAAGCCUGAUCCAGCCAUGCCGCGUGUGUGAAGAAGGUCUUCGGAUUGUAAAGCACUUUCAGUUGGGAGGCGUUACCAACAGAAGAAGCACCGGCUAACUCCGUGCCAGCAGCCGCGGUAAUAC